UCCCUGGCAGUCCAGUAGGACACUGCACUCUUAUUGCUGAGGGCCCAGGUUCAAUCCUUGGUCGGAGAA
rnacentral:tRNA from 1 species